GUAGGUGGCAAGCGUUGUCCGGAAUUAUUGGGCGUAAAGCGCGCGCAGGCGGUUCUUUAAGUCUGAUGUGAAAGCCCACGGCUCAACCGUGGAGGGUCAUUGGAAACUGGAGAACUUGAGUACAGAAGAGGAAAGCGGAGUUCCACGUGUAGCGGUGAAAUGCGUAGAGAUGUGGAGGAACACCAGUGGCGAAGGCGGCUUUCUGGUCUGUAACUGACGCUGAGGCGCGAAAGCGUGGGGAGCAAACAGGGAUUAGAUACCCUGGUAGUCCACGCCGUAAACGAUGAGUGCUAAGUGUUAGGGGGGUUUCCGGCCCCCUUAGUGCUGCAGCUAACGCAUUAAGCACUCCGCCUGGGGAGUACGGCCGCAAGGCUG
rnacentral:rRNA from 1 species